UCUUUUCCAUCUCCUCUUCUCUUCCUUCCUCUCAAACAAGAAACAAAGGGAGGCGAAUGGCGGCGGCCACGACCAUCACCGAGGCCACGAGCGCCUACGAUGACGGCUAUCACCGGGGACCGAAUAAGACGACCAGGUACAUCGUCGACUCCCUUCUUCCACUCGCUCAAUCUUUUCCAUCUCUUCUCUUUCUUCCUCUGAAACGUGAAAUAGAGGGAGGCGAACAGCGGCAGCCACGACCGUCACCGAGGCCGCGAGCGCCGGCGACGACGGCUAUCACCGGAGACCGAAGAAUACGAGCAGUCGUGGGGUUCCUAAUGUGGUGCUCCAGAUAAGCGGUACAUGAAGCGGCAUUCAUUCACUACAAAAAGAUAUCUUCGUUGAAGUGUAACUGAAAGUUGCAUUUUCAGGUGGAACAGGACUCUAGAAGAAAACCUGAUUGGCGACGGUCGCCGCCGACAUCUGCUACCAACAACCCCAACAUUUUGUUUCUUGAAUCUUCAUGAACCAUCAAUUAGCCUAGCUUCCGCACAUAGUUACAUGUAACUCGGCUUCAGGUCCUAGCCGAAGCAGUCCUACUAUGCGGCACAGGUAACAACAUACGUACAGCUGCAGCUGAAGGAGGAGUUGUGUGAUGUGUGGGGUCGUGCAGAUGGAGGCAGUAGUGGGAGAUGGAGCAGCAUAAAAUUAGAAACCAUGUUCCAGUGUGCCACUAUAUUGAUUCAUCAUUUGGUAAGUACGUGUCCACUGGAAUUACAAUGAUGCUAGAGCGUGCAAGAAAUUAUGCCAUUAUGGUCCUGAUUUUAGUGCAAGAAUUUUGUAGCCGAUGAUAUGCAUGUUUGAUAAGCUUUUGGACACUGGCCUACUGAAAACUAAGGUGCCAAAUCAAUGAUUAUUUAGCAAAUAAAACCCAUGUUUAUAUGUGUAGCAUUGAGCUAAUUUCAGUCAUGGACCUGUAUAUAGUUGCUGCAGCUAUGCUCCUGAACAUUGAAAUUUAUUAUGUAUUUAAUGUUUGUAAUAACUGCAAAAAAAGGGGUCCCAAAACUUUUAUUAGUUGGAGUCCCAGUAGUGUUACCUACACCAUGUUAUGUUCCAGGAUUCAAGAUGAGGUGGAGGUCCAAGUGAGAGUGCAAACAUGUUUCUGCGGUCACCUCAAUUUUUUUAGUGUUUAUAGAUUUUGUAUUCUAUCUGAUGUUAUUUGAACUCAUGAUGUCCAAGAUUGCCCGUUCAAUAUGAAUUAGAAAAGGAUGAAUGUACUUCGGUUCCUCCCUAGGUUCCUUGCUACCUAGAGCUGUAGAAUUUUACUUGUGGGGGAAAAAUAGACAUGGGAAAAUUUUGAGUUAAAUAAACAUAGAAGGAUUUGGCCUUCGUACUUGGUUGUUUGCUACCAUGAGGAGCUCCAGGGGCCUAACAAAAAAACUUAGCUUAAAGUUGCGGUUUCCGGUUCUUGUGUCAGAGUCAUGGCACAUCAAUUUCAGUGACCAUUAUUUGCAAGAGAUCAGUGAGAGAUUAGUGUAGUAUCUUCAUAUUAAUUUGUUCACGCUAUUCUUAGCGAUGUAGUUAAUACCAUUGGCUAUCAUAGCUGCAUCAUUAAUAAUAUUUUCCAUAGCAUUUUAUUUACACUAUUAUUUUUUUGUACUCUUUUAGCUGCACUUUAAAUUCAUCUAAUAUCUAAAAUACAUGUAUAGAACCCCAUUGGACGUUGGUGUGAUGUACUUGCAAACAAUGGUUAUCAUAGCCUCAUAGGUGCGUCAUCUAGCUGUUUUUGUUCUAUGUAGUGGUGUGUAUUCUCUCACUCUUUUCAACCAUUCUCUAUCUAAACCAUAUCUAAACAGGUGACACGAUGCUAAAAAGUUUCAUGAGCUCGGAGUAUUACCUUGGAAGGACCCUUGAUUUAUUUGGGAAAAGAAAGUGGAUGCACCAUGUGUGUUAUUAGGAAACUUCAGCAGAGCUCAUUUAGAUAAAUGUAACAUGAUUGAAUGUUGUAAUAUCUCAUGGAACAAUGUAUCUAGCUAUAUUCAUUUGUCCA